CUGAACCCAGAACCCUUCAGUCCAUAGGCUAAUGCUCUAUCCACUGAGCCAAACCGGCUAGGGCGAGAUAUUAUUUAUGUAGCCUCAGAUGGCUGAAUGGGGUGGGAGAGAUGAGGAAGUUGGGCUCUGGCAGGCUCUGACCCCAGAAGGGUUAGAGUUACGUUGGGAGAAGUGAUGGGGAUCCAACACAGCUUCUGCCUGCCAUAGUAAUCAGGAAGGCAGACACUCGUCACUCCUCAUGUGAGAGAGACACAGCAGUGACUGAGACAGCCUCCACCCUGCCCUCCGAGAGCACCCAUCCAGUGGGGGAGACACCCCCUCACCAGCCGGGGGUCAGGGAGGGCCAGGAUAGCGGGCGUUAUAGGGUGCUGUGGGAGCCCAGAGGAAGUACUUGAUCUAGUCUAAGGUAUCAGGAAGGACUUCCUGGAGUGGAGAACACAUGAGGUGAGAUUUGAAGAGUCAGAUGAAGGGAGUUAGGGUCUCUACAGGUGAUGACUUGUAGCCAAGUCAGUAAAUACUUAAAUAAUUUUUUUAUAUUGAAUAAUUUUAGAUUUACAGAAAAGUUGCAAAGAAAAUACAAAAGAUUUCCCAUAUACCCUGCACCCAACUUCCUCUAAAGUUAACAUCUUACAUAUUUAUGGUACAUUUUUGAAAAGUAGGAAGUUAAUGUUGAUUAGUAUUCUAACUUUAUCCAUAUCCUACCCGUUUUCCACUAAUGUUCUUUUUCUGUUCCAGGAGCCAAUCCAGGAACCAUGUUGCAUUUAUUCACCAUGUCUCCUUGGUCUCCUCCAGUCUGUGACAGUUUCUCAGUCUUUCCUUGGUUUUCAUAACUUUGACAGUUUUGAGAAAAGCCAAAGUCUGCUCGCCGGUACUGCACAAACUUUAGUCCGGAACAAACUUUAGCUGAGAAUACUGAAAGACACAUUUGAAAAGACCGUGUACCCAAGUGGGAAUACCCUGGCAGAGCUUGUUUCAGCCACUCAACUUGAUGAGCUAGUAUUACAGAGUUGGUUCAAGAACCAGCGUGUCAAAAGGAGGAAACAGCUGCUACAGUGUCAGCCUAGUGUGGCACUAGAAGCACAAAACCAAACCAUUUCAGUGAAGGAGGAGGAGACUCCUUUAUCUGUACCUUCUACAAACACUCAUCCCCUGAGUCCCAGCAUUGUGAAUGCUUAUGACCAUGAACUCCCUAAGACUUCUAAUAUCAAGCAAUCUGGAGGGACUAGUGCCUCUGUGUGGAAUGUAUCAUGGGAUUCUCAGCCUCAUGACCUUCAACAGCUAUGUCUGAGUGUCUCUGAUCCUUCUUGGGCCUCCAAUCCCUCUGACAUAGAUCAGUUUAUACAACUACUAGUGGCCCGGUGCACAAAAUUCAUGCACGGGGU